CCUACGGGAGGCAGCAGUGAGGAAUAUUGGUCAAUGGACGAGAGUCUGAACCAGCCAAGUAGCGUGAAGGAUGACUGCCCUAUGGGUUGUAAACUUCUGUUAUAAAGGAAUAAAACGAGGCACGUGUGCCUUUUUGCAUGUACUUUAUGAAUAAGGAUCGGCUAACUCCGUGCCAGCAGCCGCGGUAAUACGGAGGAUCCGAGCGUUCUCCGGAUUUAUGGGGGUUAAAGGGAGCGUAGAGGGGUUGUUAAGUCAGUUGUGAAAGUUUGCGGCUCAACCGUAAAAUUGCAAUUGAUACUGGCAGUCUUGCGUACAGUUGAGGUCAGCGGAAUUCGUUGUGUAGCGGUGCACUGCUUAGAUCUCAC
rnacentral:rRNA from 1 species